GGUAGGAGCAAUAGCGAGGAAUGGAAUGAUUACAUUUUGGUGUUUGAUUUGAGUGAUGGAAUGGAAUGGAAUGGAAUAAAAUUAUUCAUCUCAUUUGAUACACCAAUUCACACUGAAUUAGAUUUUGAUAGAAAACUAAACUAAACGUAUACUAAACACUUGAUUAAGCUGAACAGUGCAUUAAACGCUGCAGUGCAGAACAAAUCAAAAGUUUAGGUAGCCAUAACUCAUCAUUCUGCCAACAUCACAGGAUUGGAAAAAUUAAUGGAUGACGAAUGUGACGAGUAAUCAUUAGAGGUUGCAUCGUAAUAACACUGGAGAUUGUUGUUGGUCGCUGCCGCUUAUAGUUGUUGUUUGCUACGCCGCUGAGUUGCUGCCUAGUGCAUGUACACUGCAUGUCGCUGCACACUGCCUGAUUGUUGUUGUUUGCUGCGCCGCUGAGGUUGCAUCGUACCUGCACACUGCCUGUCGCUGCCCUGCCGGCCACUAGCCUGCACGCCGGCACUGCACCAAGAGAGAUGAGGGAAGCCAGAAGAACGACGUGCGCGAACUCGCGGCCACCAAAGAUGGGCACCUCGGGUGCGCCCGGCCUCCAUGACCGGCGCGAGUGAUGACGCGCUCGGUGGGGCUAUUGGUGGCGGCGCGUGCAAGAUUAGGGAGGGGAUGGUGCCGCCGGAGAGGGGAAGACGCGGGACUGGUUGGCGGCAUCGCAGAUCAGAUGGGUAGAGAGACUAGGGUGUGGAGGCUGGCAGCGCACAGAGGCGGGGAGAGACGAGGAAGAGGAUGACAG
rnacentral:rRNA from 1 species